rnacentral:rRNA from 1 species
ACGAACGCUGGCGGCGUGCUUAACACAUGCAAGUCGAACGGUGAACGAGGGAGCUUGCUCCCUCCGGAUCAGUGGCGAACGGGUGAGUAACACGUGAGCAAUCUGCCCCGAACUCUGGGAUAAGCGUUGGAAACGACGUCUAAUACCGGAUACGACGCGGGAGGGCAUCCUCUCCGCGUGGAAAGAACUUCGGUUCGGGAUGAGCUCGCGGCCUAUCAGCUUGUUGGUGAGGUAACGGCUCACCAAGGCGACGACGGGUAGCCGGCCUGAGGGGGUGACCGGCCACACUGGGACUGAGACACGGCCCAGACUCCUACGGGAGGCAGCAGUGGGGAAUAUUGCACAAUGGGCGCAAGACUGAUGCAGCAACGCCGCGUGAGGGACGACGGCCUUCGGGUUGUAAACCUCUUUUAGCAGGGAAGAAGCGAAAGUGACGGUACCUGCAGAAAAAGCACCGGCUAACUACGUG